UAGCAGUCAGUUCUGGGCCGAUUCUGGCUUUUUUCCGCCAGUGUCGGCUGAAAGCCGGACAGAUUUUUAGUGUAUGCGCCAGAACUGGCCCAGAUGAGGAAAUAGUAUACCAGUAGUAAACACUAUUUAUAGCUGUUGGCCCGAGUGUAAGCAUACUCAGCUGAAGUCCGGGUCUACUAAAGUAGCGUCUCAGUGUAAUCGGGCCAAAUCUGGCAUUGUGUAGUCGGACCGACUACGUUGCAUUGUGCCUGGACCGAUUAUGGUUUGAUAUGAUACUGCCAAGAUGUGUAUGAUGUCAGAAAUUCAGUAUGUGGCCCGAUACCAGUGAAACUGACACAUGCCGGUUGUAACGCUGUUUGGCGGCAAUUUAAAAAUGUUUAUGCUUCAGACGGACAGUAUACAGUACACGGCCCGAUUCCGUGAUGCGGCAAUCAGCCCUCUAGCUGUUGAACGGCAACAUCACCACUGCUGUUAUGAUUUGAAUCAAGCAGAGCACAAAGCUGAGCUCCAGUUCGACACAGACACCAUCAUCAAUAACUGGUAAGUCACUGAUUUAGUUUUUAUAUGUUAAAAAUGCAUGAUAACAAUGAAAAGGAAUUGUUUGCUACAUAUUCAAAACCGUGAAUUUUCCUGCAUGUUUAGCUAGCUAUCACGUUAGCUUAAAUAUUGUUGUUAGUAAGCUGAAUCCAUUUAGAAAGAUGUAAAUAACCAGUCAUCGUUCACGUGCAGGUUAACAGGUUUUUAAUAAUCAAGCAGAGAAUUCAGACACACGUUCGUAUCUUCAUAAAAAGGAGCAGUACACACAACCUUAUUUGAGCUAAAGUAGUUAAGAAGUUAAAGAGCACCCUGCUGAAAAAUCCAGCAUCAAACCAGCAUGGGAAUUAUGAUGGUCUUUGCUGGUGGUCACCAGCAUAACAGCACCAAAACACAACAUAUGCUGUGGCUUGCUGGUAUGCUGUUUUUUUCAGAAGGGCACAUUUUUCAGAUUCACGAAUUUACACACCCUUUGAUGUGUAAGUGUUAAAGACAUGUGAACGAUGUGCAAAUGUACAAAACCCUACACUGUAAAAAAUUUGCUGUAAUUAUGCAGCUGGUUGCCAGUAACUUACUGUAGAAGUUAAAGACUGAAAAUGUUUCAUGUUAAUUUAACUUUGAACAAACUGUUGCCAGUAAAUAACAUAAAUGUAAAAUCUACAGUAAGUUACUGGCAGCUAGUUGGCAGUAACACCCAGUAAUACUGUAAUUUCUACAGAAAUUUUUUACAGUGUAAGUAAACAAUGACGCCAGUUAUCUUCUUCAACUUAAAUCUCUUUUCUUGGACUACAACAAACACACAACAGUUUACUUCUAUGGAUUGCACACAACUUUUCUUAAAUUAGCACACAAAAAAUAGCAUGCAUCACCUCUUUGAUAUAAGCAAUCAACUACUGUAUGACCUGUGUCCUGUAUGAAACUAUGACCAACUAUUAAGACUAUAAAUCUGUUUCAGGUUAACUGGUUGGGGCUUAUUGGCGGGACAGAUGUACGAGACUGCACAUGGCAUAUAUUGAAGAGGGCGACCGACAAAUCCCUGGCUUAAAACCUCAACUGGAUGGAAAAGACUUUAUUUGCCACCCUCUAACUCAGAGAGGUAGUGAUUGAUGCAGUUCGGAGAAGGUCCCUAACAGUUGUGGAGGGGACAAUGAAGAGGUGGCUUGAUCGAGAGGGUGGGUGCAAGAGACAACUUUAGCAAAAGAAAAGCAGUUAGUGUUAGCGCCUGUGUUUGAGUCUGCAAAGGAGAAUGUUUUGUGCUGUAAAAAGAGUGGUGGUGUUUUGGUUAAAUGUGUUUAACUUGUUUUAAUUACUUGGCUUGUGUGUGAGAGGUGUGUGUGCGUGUGGGUUGGUAUAUGUGGUUUAUGGGGAACAGUGUAUAAUGACAUGUUUAAUAUGCUAUAAACAUGCUUUACAGGGACACAAUACUAAGUGGUAAUUUUUCAGAUUAAAGACUUCCAACAGAUUUUUGUUAUGGUUGGGCUUAGGGACUGGGGUAAAUUAAGGCAAUAGAAUAUACAGUUUGUACAGUAUAAAAUGCAUUGUGUCUAUGGAAUUGUCCCGGUAAACCACAUAUGCCAAUGUGUGUGUGAGAGAGAAUUUUUUUCUUUAAAUGUUAAUUAAUUUGUUUUACAUGUUGUCUCGCUGUAAUUGCUUAAGGGGAUAGUUCACCCCAAAAUUGCAAUUUUAUCAUAAAUCACUUCCCCUCUGUCGUUCUAAACCAACAAGUGCUUAGAUUGUCUUUAGAACACGUUUUUAGAUAUUUUUGAUGAAAACUGGGAGGCUUCUGUCCGUCCCAUUGAUUUCAGUUAGUUUUACAAUCUGUUUCACAGAAAAGAAUGAAAGACAUUGCCAAAAAGUUCAGUGUUCCAUCAGUAUUUCAAUGAAAAUUUUUUUCAACAGUUUGUUCUUCUCCUUGGUCGUUCAAAGCCUGUUAACGACCAGACUACGGCGCAUCCUGCUGACGUCACCUGCUGACGUAGUUCCCAGCGUACAGACAGAAUAGGCUGCCAAGUAAUUUGUACAUUUAUUUGGGCUGUUUAAGUAUUGUUACAAUGUUUGCAUUAUGCUUUAAAAAAAGCGUAGAAAAACAAAAAAAAACAUUGGUAACCACAUCAGCAAGUGACGUGAGCUGCAGGUGAUGUCAGCAGCAUCGCUGUAGUCUGGUCUUGAAUACACUUUCAACAACUAAGGAGGAGAACAAAUUGUUGAAAUCGUUCGUUUUAUUUUCUUUGUGCACAAAGUGUUCUUGUCACUUCAUAAUAUUAUUAUUAAACUACUAAUGGAAAAUGGACCUUUUUGGCGAUGUCUUUCAUUCUUUUCUGGGAAACGGAUUGUGAGACUAACUUAAGUCAAUGGGACAGACAAAAGCCUCCCGGUUUUCAUAAAAAAAUUCUAAAAAUGUAUUCUGAAGACAAUCAGAGCACUUGGUGGUUUAGAACGACACAGGGGUAAGUGAUUUAUGAGAAAAUUAUAAUUUUAAGGGUGAACUAUCCCUUUAAAAAUGUUUAUAAAGUGGGUUAUGUGCUUGUAAAAUGUGUUGUGUAAGAGAUAUAUGUCUGUUUGUAUUUGUUGGGUUUUUGUAAAGUGUACUGAAUUUGUUAAGAAUUAAUAUGUUCAAAAUUACGGUUAAUUGUUGGUACAUGUUAAAACAUGUUCAUAUUUAUGUAUUUGUUAACUGUUAAUUCACAUUAAUGUGAUGUGUGUAUUUUUUUAAUAAAAGGCUCUUAAUCUUCUUAAA